UAGGGAAUCUUCCGCAAUGGACGCAAGUCUGACGGAGCAACUCCGCGUGAGUGAAGAAGGAUUUCGGUUCGUAAAACUCUGUUGUUAGAGAAGAACAGCGCAUAGAGUAACUGUUAUGCGUGUGACGGUAUCUAACCAGAAAGCCACGGCUAACUACGUGCCAGCAGCCGCGGUAAUACGUAGGUGGCAAGCGUUGUCCGGAUUUAUUGGGCGUAAAGCGAGCUCAGGCGGUCAAUUAAGUCUGAUGUGAAAGCCCCCAGCUCAACCGGGGAGGGUCAUUGGAAACUGGUUGACUUGAGUGCAGAAGAGGAGAGUGGAAUUCCAUGUGUAGCGGUGAAAUGCGUAGAUAUAUGGAGGAACACCAGUGGCGAAGGCGACUCUCUGGUCUGUAACUGACGCUGAGGCUAGAAAGCGUGGGUAGCAAACAGG
rnacentral:rRNA from 1 species